rnacentral:rRNA from 1 species
UACGAAGGGGGCUAGCGUUGCUCGGAAUCACUGGGCGUAAAGCGCACGUAGGCGGCUUUUUAAGUCAGGGGUGAAAUCCUGGAGCUCAACUCCAGAACUGCCUUUGAUACUGAAAAGCUUGAGUCCGGGAGAGGUGGGUGGAACUGCGAGUGUAGAGGUGAAAUUCGUAGAUAUUCGCAAGAACACCAGUGGCGAAGGCGGCUCACUGGCCCGGUACUGACGCUGAGGUGCGAAAGCGUGGGGAGCAAACAGG